rnacentral:miRNA from 1 species
AGAUUGUUAAAGAGGCCAAGUAUU